GUCCAUGGCCAUGCCACCCUGAACAAGCUCUAUCCCAUCUGAUCUCAGAAGCUAAGCAGGGUUGGGCCUGGUUAGUACUUGGAUGGGAGACCACCUAGGAAGACCAGGUGCUGUAGGUG
rnacentral:rRNA from 1 species